UGUUCUGUUUAGGUUAACCAUAUGAAACGCUAAAAGCCGAAGGUGAACAAAAAAAGAAAUGAGUGGCACCCAUACGCUGUAAUUUACUGAAAAUUCGUACUUAAAAUUGUUCACCCUAUGCACAUGCACGUUGAAUGCAACUGAUGUCAAAGUUCGAGUUUUAGAAAAUUGUUUUCUGAUGCAUACUUCAGAUCACUCCCCCAAACUCAUCCACUGCCACCCUACAUAUAAAUACUCAAUCUCAGGAUUCUUCCAUUUUUUUAAGAUAGUGAUGACAAAGAGAGAGAGUGUAAAUUUUGCUCUCGCUUAAACUUGGGUGCAUCCACAAUAAUGUUUCCACACAUUAUGAAUAGAUUAGGAUUCCUACGUCAGGGAAAGGUCUUAAAAUACAGUGCUGUAUUUCAUAUCCCCCAGACACCUUCAUCUGCCCACCAUAGUAGUCUCUGGCACCGUGCUCAAGUGUCAAAUGAUUCUUCAGUGAGCAGUACCAAGAGGAAAUGGCGUGGGCUUGGGCAACAUCUUCCACAGUUACUGAGCCCACUUCCUAUAGGUAUUGGGCUGGUACUCGUUGCUUUCCUGCGGUGGCAUUAUAUCAGCUGGAAGAAGCGCAGUACUGACAGUAAUACCUUGGUCUUGGCGAAGGAUUGGGAAGUCACUUGCUACAGAGCAGUUCCUCUUCGGAUCCUGAGUCGAAUAUGGGGCUGGAUAAUGAAGAAGCAGCUACCAGCAUCAGUUCGCCCAUGGCUGUACAGUUAUUACGCGUCUAUAUUUGGGUGCAAUCUAGAAGAGGCAGCCCAUGAAGAUCUUAAAGCAUACAGAAGUUUGGCAGAAUUCUUUUGCCGACCAUUGAAGGAUGGUGUUCGGCCUGUCAGUGAAGUUGAUUGUAUUGUAUCACCAGCUGACGGUCGUGUGAUCAGCUUUGGUCCUGUUGAGACAUGCAGUGUGGAACAGGUGAAGGGUGUGACAUACUCAUUGCAGGGAUUCCUUGGGGAGCCCACAUGGAAUGGGAAGCUUUCACAUACAUAUUCAAACCACACAAAUCAAGACAUCAAGAUUGUAUUAGGUACAUGCAGUCCAUCUGAGUACAGGCAGUCCCUGCUACUUAACAAAGACACAGCUCUGUAUCAGUGUGUGGUAUACCUGGCACCAGGAGAUUACCACCGAUUUCACUCACCUGUGCAAUGGGAUGUCAUCUUCAGGAGACAUUUCCAAGGAGAACUCUUGAGUGUGAACCCAAAGGUGGCACAAUGGAUACCUGACCUUUUCACCUUGAAUGAGCGGGCUGUCUAUGUGGGUCACUGGAAGCAUGGUUUCUUCUCACUGACAGCUGUUGGUGCAACAAAUGUUGGCUCCAUACAUGUCUACUGUGAUAAGGAACUGAUAACAAAUCAACGCAAAUGGCGGAAGAUGGAGUCCCGACAUCGAGAUUCAUUCCUCAUGGAGCCGCAGGGAGAAAAAAUUGAGAUGUGCAAAGGACAACCAUUUGGCGAGUUCCGUCUUGGUUCGACAAUUGUGUUAUUGUUUGAAGCUCCAAAGGACUAUAAGUUCAAGCUGGUGAAUGGACAGCGAAUUCUAGUGGGUGAAGGUAUUAGUGACUGUCAUGUAGGGUAACAGAGUGUUAUAUGUAAUAGAGCAUAAUGUACUGUGACAGGUGACUUCAGUGUUGUGCCUUUAAAGUGGAAUGAGAACAAAUGAAGAUGCAUUUUCCUACCCUUAAGUGCUUUCUAAUGUACGGUUGCUACCAGCAAUCUGUGAGCUUGGCCUUGGCUCAGAAACCAUGGGCAUGGAGGUGAGGGGAUCGAAAAUGGGUCCCUGGCUACCUGUCCUGAGAGUUGAUGGUCAGAGUGAUCACUGACAGUAGCUGUGUGACAUCACUUGAACUGGUGUGAUGUUUUCAGGUGAGUGGCGAACUUCAUGCCCCGGCUGUUUAAUCCCCACGGAGUCCGUCCCUGGUACCCAUUGUAUAGGAGGCUGGUGAACUCCAGAGCUGGUCCGAAUAUUAUGGAGAAGAAAAGACUGACUUUCCCCUGCCAGGAAUGGAACCCCAGUUCCUCUGUUCAGCCUGGGGCCUAGUCACCAUACCUACUGAGCUAUAUGAAAUCCCUAGAAAGCCAUCAGUGACAACUGCUGUAGCUGAUUGGAGGACGUGGUGCCUGUCACUCUCCCCCCCAGUGCGCAUCAUCCAUGAGGACUCCUGUGACUACAGAUCAAGAAAGGGGCACCAAGGAAGUCCCUAUUCUGCUACACAGGAACGCUGAGGAGUUCCUCUAGUUAAGUGCCGGAGUGGAAUCAGCGAAGGAAGAGCUGUUUGCAGUGGUGGACAUUCUGUCUGUGAGUGAGCAAGUACCAUGCAGCACUUGAACUGCAUACUGUCAUGGAGGAGCUCCAGUACUAAAGGAGGACUACAUGAAGUAUCAGAAUGUCAGGAAAAGUGGGGUGUUUCGAGAUAGUGCGAUUCAGGAGAUGCAAGCUUCAUCAGCAACA